rnacentral:rRNA from 1 species
GUAGAGGAUGUUUCGGGCGCGGCGCCGGGCUAAGUCCCUUGGAACGGGGCGUCAUAGAGGGUGAGAAUCCCGUAUGUGCCCGGCGAUCAAGCCCAUGCGAAACUCCUUCGACGAGUCGAGUUGUUUGGGAAUGCAGCUCAAAAUGGGUGGUAAAUUUCAUCUAAAGCUAAAUACUGGCCAGAGACCGAUAGCGCACAAGUAGAGUGAUCGAAAGAUGAAAAGCACUUUGGAAAGAGAGUCAAACAGUACGUGAAAUUGUUGAAAGGGAAGCGCUUGCAACCAGACCUGCCCGCGGGCGAUCAGCCGCCCCUUUGGGGGCGGUGCACGCGCCCGCGAACAGGCCAGCAUCGGUUCGGGCGGCCGGAUAAAGGCUCUGGGAACGUAGCUCCUCUCGGGGAGUGUUAUAGCCCUCGGCGUCAUGCGGCCCGCCUGGACCGAGGACCGCGCUUCGGCUAGGAUGCUGGCGUAAUGGUCGUAAGCGGCCCGUCUUGAAACACGGACCAAGGAGUCUAACAUCUAUGCGAGUGUUUGGGCGUGAAACCCAUGCGCGCAAUGAAAGUGAACGGAGGUGGGAACCCCUCGAGGGCGCACCAUCGACCGAUCCUGAUGUCUUCGGAUGGAUUUGAGUACGAGCAUAGCUGUUGGGACCCGAAAGAUGAUGAACUAUGCCUGAAUAGGGUGAAGCCAGAGGAAACUCUGGUGGAGGCUCGCAGCGGUUCUGACGUGCAAAUCGAUCGUCAAAUUUGGGUAUAGGGGCGAAAGACUAAUCGAAUCAU